GAGGGUAUAGCUCAGCGGUACAGCGCAUGCUUAGCAUGCACAAGGUCCUGGGUUCAAUUCCCAGUUCCUCCU
rnacentral:tRNA from 1 species